AGGGCACCACCAGGAGUGGAGCCUGCGGCUUAAUUUGACUCAACACGGGGAAACUCACCCGGCCCGGACACCGGAAGGAUUGACAGAUUGAUAGCUCUUUCUUGAUUCGGUGGAUGGUGGUGCAUGGCCGUUCUUAGUUGGUGGAGCGAUCUGUCUGGUUAAUUCCGAUAACGAACGAGACUCUAGCCUAUUAAAUAGACGUCGGGUUCUCUGCACUCGACGGUCUUCUUAGAGGGACAAGGUGCUUUUAGCACCGCGAAACAGAGCAAUAACAGGUCUGUGAUGCCCUUAGAUGUCCGGGGCCGCACGCGCGCUACACUGAAGGAAGCAGCGUGUAACAACCUUGUUCUAACGAACUGGGUAACCCGUGGAACUUCCUUCAUGAUUGGGAUAGGGGUUUGCAAUUGUGCCCCUUGAACGAGGAAUUCCCAGUAAACACUAGUCAUCAGCUAGUGCUGAUUACGUCCCUGCCCUUUGUACACACCGCCCGUCGCUACUACCGAUUGAAUGAAUUAGUGA
rnacentral:rRNA from 1 species